rnacentral:rRNA from 1 species
AUUGAACGCUGGCGGCAGGCCUAACACAUGCAAGUCGAGCGGAUGAAGGGAGCUUGCUCCUGGAUUCAGCGGCGGACGGGUGAGUAAUGCCUAGGAAUCUGCCUGGUAGUGGGGGAUAACGUCCGGAAGCGGGCGCUAAUACCGCAUACGUCCUGAGGGAGAAAGUGGGGGAUCUUCGGACCUCACGCUAUCAGAUGAGCCUAGGUCGGAUUAGCUAGUUGGUGGGGUAAAGGCCUACCAAGGCGACGAUCCGUAACUGGUCUGAGAGGAUGAUCAGUCACACUGGAACUGAGACACGGUCCAGACUCCUAAGGGAGGCAGCAGUGGGGAAUAUUGGACAAUGGGCGAAAGCCUGAUCCAGCCAUGCCGCGUGUGUGAAGAAGGUCUUCGGAUUGUAAAGCACUUUAAGUUGGGAGGAAGGGCAGUAAGUUAAUACCUUGCUGUUUUGACGUUACCAACAGAAUAAGCACCGGCUAACUUCGUG